rnacentral:rRNA from 1 species
GACGAACGCUGGCGGCGUGCUUAACACAUGCAAGUCGAACGGUAAGGCCCUUCGGGGUACACGAGUGGCGAACGGGUGAGUAACACGUGGGUGAUCUGCCCUGCACUUCGGGACAAGCCUGGGAAACUGGGUCUAAUACCGGAUAGGACUCCGGACUGCAUGGUCUGGGGUGGAAAGCUUUUGCGGUGUGGGAUGGGCCCGCGGCCUAUCAGCUUGUUGGUGGGGUGAUGGCCUACCAAGGCGACGACGGGUAGCCGGCCUGAGAGGGUGACCGGCCACACUGGGACUGAGAUACGGCCCAGACUCCUACGGGAGGCAGCAGUGGGGAAUAUUGCACAAUGGGCGCAAGCCUGAUGCAGCGACGCCGCGUGAGGGAUGACGGCCUUCGGGUUGUAAACCUCUUUCAGCACCGACGAAGCGCAAGUGACGGUAGGUGCAGAAGAAGGACCAGCCAACUACGUGCCAGCAGCCGCGGUAA